rfam:Drosophila mojavensis strain TSC#15081-1352.22 Ctg01_10271, whole genome shotgun sequence.
ACCCCAAGAUAUUAAGCCGGCAGUCGUUCGUAUUUUAACCAGCGGCGACUGUGACUAUGACUGGGAACAGAAAUGCCGCUGAUGUGUGUAUGUUGGUGUUGCGCCCACCAUGCGUAUCUGACAAAGUAAUUUUCAGACGACA